ACACGACUGCAAUACGAAACAUGGCAAUUAAUUAAUAUGACACCAAUUUAUAGCAUGUCUGUGAUUGUAAAACAACAAAGGAGUGUUUCUGUGUUGAGAUGGCUUCAAUCUGCCUAAAAUCAGAAGUAGCACAUGCCCAACUCAUAGAAGCUCUUAAAUGCUAGCUGUUUGCUUACCCCGAAUUCGACCAGUUUGAAUGCUCGCCGUAGCUCAUAUUGAUUACAUCGAUACGUCGUCCUUCGCGGCACAGCUCCAUCACCUUCAUGAUGCCGCGUACCAGCGCGGAACCUGUCUCCAUGGAGCCCAAGCGACCGUCGCCAAUGGUUAUGGACACAAUCUUGGCAUUGGGUGCAACACCAUCAAUGUCGCGAGAGCUGUGAUUGCCACUGGCAAUCGAUGCCACAUGCGUGCCAUGAGGAGCUGUCAAAUAAAAAUGGGUAUACUAUUUUGCUAUACCUUUAAUUGCUAGUCAACUUACAGCACAUGCCCACCACUUCCAGAACGUUGCCAUCGUCAUGCACAUUCACCGAAAUGGAGAGGAAAUCAUUGACAUUCUUUGUUUCGUGUGUGUUGGUAAAUUCGCCAAUGCGCAAUGCCUCC